rnacentral:rRNA from 1 species
AAAUGCCUACCUAUAAGACUGGGAUAACUUCGGGAAACCGGAGCUAAUACCAGAUAAUAUUUUGAACCGCAUGGUUCAAAAGUGAAAGACGGUCUUGCUGUCACUUAUAGAUGGAUCCGCGCUGCAUUAGCUAGUUGGUAAGGUAACGGCUUACCAAGGCAACGAUGCAUAGCCGACCUGAGAGGGUGAUCGKCCACACUGGAACUGAGACACGGUCCAGACUCCUACGGGAGGCAGCAGUAGGGAAUCUUCCGCAAUGGGCGAAAGCCUGACGGAGCAACGCCGCGUGAGUGAUGAAGGUCUUCGGAUCGUCCCACUCUGUUAUUAGGGAAGAACAUAUGUGUAAGUAACUGUGCACAUCUUGACGGUACCUAAUCAGAAAGCCACGGCUAACUACGUGCCAGCAGCCGCGGUAAUACGUAGGUGGCAAGCGUUAUCCGGAAUUAUUGGGCGUAAAGCGCGCGUAGGCGGUUUUUYAAGUCUGAUGUGAAAGCCCACGGCUCCCCCGUGGAGGGUCAUUGGAAACUGGAAAACUUGAGUGCAGAAGAGGAAAGUGGAAUUCCAUGUGUAGCGGUGAAAUGCGCAGAGAUAUGGAGGAACACCAGUGGCGAAGGCGACUUUCUGGUCUGUAACUGACGCUGAUGUGCGAAAGCGUGGGGAUCAAACAGGAUUAGAUACCCUGGUAGUCCACGCCGUAAACGAUCCCUGCUARGUGUUAGGGGGUUUCCGCCCCUUAGUGCUGCAGCUAACGCAUUAAGCACUCCGCCUGGGGAGUACGACCGCAAGGUUGAAACUCAAAGGAAUUGACGGGGACCCGCACAAGCGGUGGAGCAUGUGGUUUAAUUCGAAGCAACGCGAAGAACCUUACCAAAUCUUGACAUCCUUUGACAACUCUAGAGAUAGAGCCUUCCCCUUCGGGGGACAAAGUGACAGGUGGUGCAUGGUUGUCGUCAGCUCGUGUCGUGAGAUGUUGGGUUAAGUCCCGCAACGAGCGCAACCCUUAAGCUUAGUUGCCAUCAUUCCCUUGGGCACUCUAAGUUGACUGCCGGUGACAACGGAGGAAGGUGGGGAUGACGUCAAAUCAUCAUGCCCCUUAUGAUUUGGGCUACACACGUGCUACAAUGACAAUACAAAGGGCAGCGAAACCGCGAGGUCAAGCAAAUCCCAUAAAGUUGUUCUCAGUUCGGAUUGUAGUCUGCAACUCGACUACAUGAAGCUGGAAUCGCUAGUAAUCGUAGAUCAGCAUUCUACGGUGAAUACGUUCCCGGGUCUUGUACACACCGCCCGUCACACCACGAGAGUUUGUA